AGAUGACUGAGUCAAUCCCACAUUACAUAUGAGGAAACUGAGACAGUCCUCUGUUUCCUGUCUCAGGGAAAAUACACAAAGUAUAAUGAACACCAUGGAGGCAUUUCCUAAACUUACAUCUCAUUAUUCAAUGCAGGGAGCACAGACUCUGAAGAGGGAAACCACAGGGGAAAUUACACAUACCAUUUGUCAACUUACAUUCCUUUAAGCAAAAUGCACCAAAUUAAGAAUUCGGGAUGAUAGUUUUGCAUUGCUGAGUACAUUUGAAAAUCAUUUGAGGCCGGGUGCGGUGGCUCACGCCUGUAAUCCCAGCACUUUGGAAGGCUGAGGAGGGUGGAUAAACUGAGGUCAGGAGUUCGAGACCAGGCUGGCCAACAUGGAGAAGUGAUGGCGUGGUGGCCAGGCUUGGUGGCAGGCACCUGUAAUCCCAGCUACUUGGGAGGCUGAGGCAGGAGAAUCGCUUGAACCCAGGAGGAGGGGGUUGCAGUGAGCCAAGAUCGUGCCAUUGCACUCCAGCCUGGGAGAUGGCCCAAGACUGUGUCUCAAAAAAAAAAAAAGAAAAGAAAAGAAAAUCAUCUGGAUGCUGGUCAAAGCUUAAAUGCUAAAAAGUUCUACCUCAUGAGUUUGUUUUGCUGGUAUGUGUGGAGUCCACCUCUAUCUUUCUCAGACUCUCUCUCUUACUCUCUUACUCCCUCCCUCUUUCCUUCCUUCCUCCCUUUCUUCCACCCUCCCUCUGUCUCUUCCACCCUCCCUCCCUCUCUUCCUUCCUUCCUUCUUUCCUGUACAUUCUCACCAGCUACAAACUUUGGACCCUCUUGACAAACGUUUUUGUGUCUUCCAUGAGGAUGAUUACUACUAGCUUGUUGCUGAUGGUAAGCCACAUUUCCUGUCUCCAUAUUGAAGAAAUGAAAUGGCAGCUUGAAGGCAGCAGGACAGAGAUUCGCUGCCAAACAACCAAAUCAGCUGUAAAUGCCUGUUGGUAUGGAGGACAGAAGGGCUCCAGGCUGUACCAUCAUUGAGAUGCAGGAAUUCAAGUGAGUCUUCCGUAUUUGAACUGGCCUGGAGUUGGUGCUUGGGAGUUGAUGGCUACUUCUACAUAUAACUACACAAAGAACUGGCUUAAUAUUAAUGCUCAAGUAAACGAGUCACUAAACAAACAAGAAAAACAAGACCAAACUAUGAAAUCUGUUGUUAAAAGUAUAUUAAAAUUCAGAUUGAAAAUGAUUGAAAUCAAUUAUUAAAUAUGUUUCAAAAAAAGAAAGCAUGCUACAUCCAUUUGGUUUGUUUUCAUAGGUAAUAUCAAACUGCUAAAUAUCACCUUAAUUCAGUCAUUGAUAAAUGUGUGCAAUGAGGUGUAGCCCACAAAGCCUUUAAUCAGUGUGACCAUUCCAAUAUCUCAUGGCCUUUAAUUUUGCUUCUGUUCGGUUAUCAACAUUG
rnacentral:lncRNA from 1 species